CCUACGGGUGGCAGCAGUGGGGAAUAUUGCACAAUGGGGGAAAGCCUGACCCAGCAACGCCGCGUGAAGGCAGAAGGCUUUCGGGUUGUAAACUUCUUUUGACAGGGAAGAGCAGAAGACGGUACCUGUCGAAUAAGCCACGGCUAACUACGUGCCAGCAGCCGCGGUAAUACGUAGGUGGGAAGCGGUGCCCGGAUUUACUGGGUGUAAAGGGCGUGUAGCCGGGCUGACAAGUCGAAUGUGAAAUCCGGGGGCUCAACCCACGAACUGCAUUUGAAACUGUUGGUCUUGAGUAUCGGAGAGGCAGGCGGAAUUCCUAGUGGAGCGGUGAAAUGCGUAGAUAGUAGGAGGAACACCAGUGGCGAAGGCGGCCUGCUGGACGACAACUGACGGUGAGGCGCGAAAGCGUGGGGAGCAAACAGGAUUAGAUACCCGAGUAGUC
rnacentral:rRNA from 1 species